UAUGAGGAAGUUAGCUUGCUAAAUGGACUCAUGGCGGACGGGUGAGUAACGCGUAAAGAACUUGCCCUUUAGACUGGGAUAACAGAGGGAAACUUCUGAUAAUACUGGAUAAGUUAGUAUAUCGCAUGAUAUGCAAAUGAAAGCUACGGCACUAAAGGAGAGCUUUGCGUCCUAUUAGCUAGUUGGUAAGGUAAGAGCUUACCAAGGCGAUGAUAGGUAGCCGGCCUGAGAGGGUGGACGGCCACAAGGGGACUGAGAUACGGCCCUUACUCCUACGGGAGGCAGCAGUGGGGAAUAUUGGACAAUGGAGGGAACUCUGAUCCAGCAAUUCUGUGUGUGUGAAGAAGGUUUUAGGACUGUAAAACACUUUUAGUAGGGAAGAAAAAAAUGACGGUACCUACAGAAGAAGCAACGGCUAAAUACGUGCCAGCAGCCGCGGUAAUACGUAUGUUGCGAGCGUUAUCCGGAAUUAUUGGGCUUAAAGGGCAUCUAGGCGGUAAGACAAGUUGAAGGUGAAAACCUGUGGCUCAACCAUAGGCUUGCCUACAAAACUGUUGAACUAGAGUACUGGAAAGGUGGGUGGAACUACACGAGUAGAGGUGAAAUUCGUAGAUAUGUGUAGGAAUGCCGAUGAUGAAGAUAACUCACUGGACAGAAACUGACGCUGAAGUGCGAAAGCUAGGGGAGCAAACAGGAUUAGAUACCCUGGUAGUCCUAGCUGUAAACGAUGAUCACUGGGUGUGGGGAUGCGAAGUCUCUGUGCCGAAGCAAAAGC
rnacentral:rRNA from 1 species